CUGGUGGGAUUUUGUCUUUGUUUGCUUGUCAUGGCAUGCCGAGAAUUCCUAAGAAAUAUAAAAUGAUCUUCCAGUGUCGGAGACAGCGCUGUGUUUUUACUGUUGCGGAAAUGAGGCGUCUCACAGUUUGUGAGAAUCACCUGUUACAUCAGUGAAAUGUCAGCUAGGUGGCAACUUUUUUUUCCCCACUAAGUCUAGUGUGCUAAAAUAUGAGAGUACAAAGAAUAUUACAUAAGUCACAUAAGUUACAUAAGUACAACCUAAUUUUACCACCGUAAAUAAAACAUCUCAGAUCUCUGCAGUUUUUUACUAAAUGAAAUAUUUCAUCUUGGACACACGGAGGAGUCCCUCAUUUGGCUCGGGAGAUAUUUGAUUCCGCUGAGUGAAUGUGAGACUUGGAAAUGUGUAAUUUACAUAUUCAUUUGCAUGUCACAGCACAUCUGCUUCAGUGUGAUAGUGAUUUGUCAGUAGCCAAUGUCCCUGCAUACAUUUGAAAAGGUGAACUUCUCUGCUUGUUUCCAAAGGUCCGUCUCUGACCUGUGACUGUAGAUGUGGCGUCACUAACAAAACGAUGCUGCACCUUCCUCAACAAAAUCUCUCUGUGACAACAAAUCUUUGGGAUGAGACAACAGACGCAGAUGCUAAGACGCUGAUCUGCACAAGGACAUGGCAUAAAUUACUCUAAAAUGUAGCAGUGGAGCUGUAAAAGCAGAUAAAUAAAGGGAGAUAAGUGAUGCUGAUGUAAAAAAUAAAUAAAUAAUAAAAAGUUUGUGCCUCAACUUAAACUUUUUACAAGGUGGAAAAUGCCUUUAACACUUUUAGACCUUGAGGAAGGAGACAUGAUGUAUUUUGGUGAGAACAGUUGUCCAUAAACUGAGGGUUUUGUUUACAUUGGACCUAUAAAAACUCCACAGGAAACGGGUGAUCAAAGCACAGACAUGUAUUAUUAAGCCCCCAAAAAGUCUUAAAUUGCAUCAAUUUAUUUUUAUUUAGUCAGGUUCACUCAU